UUUAAGCAUUCACGAGAUGUGGUUAUGAGAGUUAUGCAGGUUCUGAGUGAUACCAACAACAUUAGUUCAGCAAAAGAGAAACCUGGUGUAUGUCAUUAUUGCGGGAUUUCUGGUCACUGGCAAUGAGAAUGUCGGAAAAGAAAACAUGAUUUUAUGAGAAGUGGCCAGGAGAAGAAGGGUCCGUCUCUAAGGGAAAAUGGAAUCAGGACAACAGCCCCAGAAAUGUAAGAAGCUCUCGCCGGCUCAGCAGCAGAGUUUGCUGGAUGCUGUGGAGAGGGGUGUUUCCUUACUAGCUGGCAGGCGUCAACAUGUCCCUAUCCCAGGCUGUAGUCCCCACAUGCUACAACCACCAUCGUUCCAGUGUCGAAGAACACCAAGUCAUCGACACCGUUGCAGUGCAUGAGCUGGGGCAGGCACAUGCUCAGGUUGCCACAAGGAAAAUAUCCUAGGGGGCAGUUCGUCU